rnacentral:rRNA from 1 species
AUUGAACGCUGGCGGCAUGCUUUACACAUGCAAGUCGAACGGUAACAGGCCUUCGGGUGCUGACGAGCGGCGAACGGGUGAGUAAUGCAUCGGAACGUACCCAGAGGUGGGGGAUAACGCAGCGAAAGCUGUGCUAAUACCGCAUGUGAUCUGAGGAUGAAAGCGGGGGACCGAGCAGCAAUGUUUGGCCUCGCGCCUUUGGAGCGGCCGAUGUCGGAUUAGCUAGUUGGUGGGGUAAAGGCCUACCAAGGCGACGAUCCGUAGCUGGUCUGAGAGGACGACCAGCCACACUGGGACUGAGACACGGCCCAGACUCCUACGGGAGGCAGCAGUGGGGAAUUUUGGACAAUGGGCGCAAGCCUGAUCCAGCAAUGCCGCGUGCGGGAAGAAGGCCUUCGGGUUGUAAACCGCUUUUGGCAGGAACGAAACGGUGUCCGCUAAUACCGGGCGCUAAUGACGGUACCUGCAGAAUAAGCACCGGCUAACUACGUG